rnacentral:misc_RNA from 1 species
GCGUGCAGGUUGCCGGCAGCGUACCCGGCGGCGUGUACUCCGACCUCCGCGCGGCCGGCCAGCUGCCGAAGGACCUCUUCUACCGAUUCAACGACGAGGAUUACCGCUGGGUAGCCAAGGCCAACUGGACCUACGACCGCUCCUUCCAAGUGCCGCGCGGCGUCCUGGCCAAGGACAAGCAGGUGCUCGUGCUGCACGGCGUGGACACGGUGGCUGAGGUGCGGCUCAACGGCCGCGUCCUCGGCACCACGGACAAUAUGUUCGUCCGCUACCGCUUUGACGUCAAGGGGAUCCUCAAGGACGCCCACAACAGGCUGCAGGUCCGCUUCACGUCCCCGACCGCCGAAGCGUCGCGCCGCGCCGCCGAGCAAGACAAGCAGUACCCGGUGCCGCCCGCCUGCCCCGACGCCAGCUACCACGGCGAGUGUGGGGUCAACCACCUCAGAAAGAUGCAGGCCUCGUUCUCCUGGGACUGGGGCCCCGCCUUCCCCUCCAUGGGGUUGUGGAAGAGCGUGCACAUAGAGGCGUACACUACGGCGGUGCUGCGCAACGUGGGCUUCACCGCGCGCCCCGCGGCCGCAGCCACGGCCAAGAGGUGGGACGUGGCGGUGCGCGCGUACUGGGAGGUGGGCGCGCGCCCCGGGGAAAGCCCCCCGCGCGCGCUGCUCUCCGUCACCCUCACCGGCCCGGACGGCAAGGUUGCCGCCAGCGAGGACGUCGCGGCCACGCUCAGCGGGGACGCGGAGGGCGCCGGCUUCACGGACGUCGCGCUGUUCUUACCCAAGGACAAGGUGCAGAUGUGGUGGCCGAGCGGCUACGGCGCGCAGCCCCUGUACACCGUGCACGUGGCGCUGCGCGCCUUCACGAACUGGGGGCAGUCCGACCGCGGCGACCUGUGGGACCAGAUGACCGUCAAGUCGGGCUUUAGGACCGUGGAGCUGGUGCAGGAGCCCGUGGACGAGGCCCACCUCGCCAAAGGACUCACGUACUACUUCCGGGUGAACGGCGUGGCCGUGUUCGCCAAAGGCUCCAACUGGAUCCCCGCGCACGUGCUCCCGGAGCUCGGCGGCGACCCUGGUGUCGUCGGUCACCUCCUGCACUCCGCCAAGGAGGCCAACAUGAACAUGCUGCGCGUCUGGGGUGGCGGCGUGUACGAGUCGGACCUGUUCUACGAGCUCGCGGACGAGCUGGGCAUCAUGGUGUGGCAGGACUUGAUGUUCGCGUGCGCCAUGUACCCGGUGGGCUCGGCUUUCCUCCGGUCCGUGGACACGGAGGUGCGCCAGCAGUACCGCCGCCUCAACCGCCACCCCAGCGUGGUGGUGUGGGCCGGCAACAACGAGAACGAGGCGGCGCUCAGGGGCGACUGGUACCACACGCAGGGCCCGCUGUUCGAGCAGUACCACCGCGACUACGUCAAGCUGUACGUGGACACGGCGCGCGCCGCGGUGCGGGCCGAGGGCCUGGCGACGCCCUUCGCGGUGUCCAGCCCCUCCAACGGCGCCCAGUCCGAAGCGGAUGGCUUCCUCGCUGAGAACCCUUACAGCUCCUUGUACGGCGACGACCACCACUACGACUACCUCUCCGACGCCUGGAACCCCGCCGUCUUCCACAACACGCGCUUCGGCUCCGAGUACGGCUUUAUGUCCUGGCCCAAGAGGCCCACCAUGAUGGACGCCACGGACUCCGAGCACGCCGACGAGGACCUGGCGCUGGGCAGCACGCUGGCUGCGUCGAGGCAGCAUCACCCAGGCGGCAACCUGGAGAUCGCCAUGCAGAUCAUGCAGCACCUGCCCUUGCCGCAGGACUUCAACAAGUCUGAGCACUUCGACACUGUGGCGUACUAUAGCCAGGUUUCAGAUCUACCAGGCCAUGGCCACCAAGACGGAGACCGAGUUCCUGCGGCGCUCCAGGAACCUGCUGACGCCCCUGGGGGAAGGCCGCACCAUGGGGGCGCUCUACUGGCAGCUCAACGAUGUGUGGCAAGCCCCCUCCUGGGCAGGCAUCGACUUUUCCGGCCGAUGGAAGAUGCUGCACCACUACGCCGUGGACUUCCUGGCCCCGCUGCUGGUGUCCCCGUUCGUCAAUGCGGGCACGCUCCUCGUAGACGUAGUGUCCGACGCGCCGCGGUCCGGCGAGCUGCUCGUGCACACCGACGUGCUGGCCUGGGACUCGUUCCAGCCGCGCGCGCAGAGCGUGAACGCCGUGACGAUGAAGGGCGCGGGCAGCACGGUGCGCGCGCUCGUCAAGCCCAUGUGGGCCGUGCUGCGCGAGGCGGGCUGCCCAGAGAACGCCACCUGGGGCCAAGCCUGGGGCUGCGUGAUCCUGUUCAGGCUGACGGACACCAACAACGCCACCCUCGCGGAGAACUUCCUGCUCCCAUUCUCCCCCAAGGAAACCCGCAUGCCGACGGCCACGUUCCAGUUGGGCAGAGUGGGGGGCCCUUUCCCCGGCACGCAGCACCAGCGCUGGGACUACGAGCUCACUCUGGUCGCGUCCUCGCCGGCGGCCUUCGUGUGGCUGGAGGCGGGCCCCGUGCUGGGUCGCUUCUCCCGCAACGGCUUCCACGUGACGGGUGCCGAGGGUCUGGAGCUACGCUUCCACAGUGACCAGGAGAUGCCCGCCGACGAGUUACUCCAGCACCUCACUGUCAGGGCGCUCAACGGCCAGGGGUUUUCAAGAGUCCAGGAGGGGGUGGAGUUGCUUAAAAUUUGAAUACAUACAGCGGCAGCUUUGUUUUUUGGCGACAAAGAGGGGCAAAUUUUUUCGGUCCUUGAAGGCUGUUGCCAAAUACAACCAUGAUCAUCAAAUGAAUGAAAAAGUCAUCAUUUUACGACAACUUGUAAAAUUUUGAAUCCGUUUGUCUUUGUCAAUUUACAGCAAAAGAUGUAAAAUAUUGAAAAACAGGUCGGUCUGGUGGUUUUGAACCUGUCAUGUUUCACUUGCGGCGCACGCUCUUUACCACUGAGCUACAAAGACAUACAGGAAUCAAGGUGUCAGCUACCAUGACACUUGAAGCCCACCUCCCCUUUCUUUUUUCAGACAAACUCCGGUAAAUGAACAGAAAAUCCAUUUUUUUUUCAUAAAUUAACAGCAUUAGUUGUACUUUGCACUAAACAAUAAGAUUAUAUAUUAUUUUUUCGUAACCGUACAACAUGUAUUGUACUUUGCAAAAACAAACCAUCAAGAUAAUCCGAUUUUUGUUCGUAAAUGUUGUGAAAUACAGUCUAAAGAUUCCUAA